GAUAUGAACCGUUAUAACCGGCGAUGUCCGAAUGGGGAAACCCGGUGCACUUCGGUGCAUCAUCGUUAGCUGAAUACAUAGGCUAACGAGGCGAACCGGGGGAACUGAAACAUCUAAGUACCCCGAGGAAAAGAAAUCAACCGAGAUUCCCCCAGUAGCGGCGAGCGAACGGGGAACAGCCCAGAGCCUGAAUCAGCUUGUGUGUCAGUGGAACGGUCUGGAAAGGCCGGCGAUACAGGGUGACAGCCCCGUACACGAAGGCACACAGGCUGUGAGCUCGAUGAGUAGGGCGGGACACGUGAUAUCCUGUCUGAAGAUGGGGGGACCAUCCUCCAAGGCUAAAUACUCCUGACUGACCGAUAGUGAACCAGUACCGUGAGGGAAAGGCGAAAAGAACCCCGGCGAGGGGAGUGAAACAGAACCUGAAACCGUGUACGUACAAGCAGUGGGAGCCUUCGUAAGAGGGUGACUGCGUACCUUUUGUAUAAUGGGUCAGCGACUUAUAUUCUGUAGCAAGGUUAACCGUAUAGGGGAGCCGAAGGGAAACCGAGUCUUAACCGGGCGUUAAGUUGCAGGGUAUAGACCCGAAACCCGGUGAUCUAGCCAUGGGCAGGUUGAAGGUUGGGUAACACUAACUGGAGGACCGAACCGACUAAUGUUGAAAAAUUAGCGGAUGACCNNNNNNNNNNCUGUGGCUGGGGGUGAAAGGCCAAUCAAACCGGGAGAUAGCUGGUUCUCCCCGAAAGCUAUUUAGGUAGCGCCUCGUGAACUCAUCUCCGGGGGUAGAGCACUGUUUCGGCUAGGGGGCCAUCCCGGCUUACCAACCCGAUGCAAACUGCGAAUACCGGAGAAUGUUAUCACGGGAGACACACGGCGGGUGCUAACGUCCGUCGUGAAGAGGGAAACAACCCAGACCGCCAGCUAAGGUCCCAAAGUCAUGGUUAAGUGGGAAACGAUGUGGGAAGGCCCAGACAGCCAGGAUGUUGGCUUAGAAGCAGCCAUCAUUUAAAGAAAGCGUAAUAGCUCACUGGUCGAGUCGGCCUGCGCGGAAGAUGUAACGGGGCUAAACCAUGCACCGAAGCUGCGGCAGCGACGCUUAUGCGUUGUUGGGUAGGGGAGCGUUCUGUAAGCCUGCGAAGGUGUGCUGUGAGGCAUGCUGGAGGUAUCAGAAGUGCGAAUGCUGACAUAAGUAACGAUAAAGCGGGUGAAAAGCCCGCUCGCCGGAAGACCAAGGGUUCCUGUCCAACGUUAAUCGGGGCAGGGUGAGUCGACCCCUAAGGCGAGGCCGAAAGGCGUAGUCGAUGGGAAACAGGUUAAUAUUCCUGUACUUGGUGUUACUGCGAAGGGGGGACGGAGAAGGCUAUGUCGGCCGGGCGACGGUUGUCCCGGUUUAAGCGUGUAGGCUGACUUUCCAGGCAAAUCCGGAAAGUUAAGGCUGAGGCGUGAUGACGAGGCACUACGGUGCUGAAGUGACAAAUGCCCUGCUUCCAGGAAAAGCCUCUAAGCAUCAGGUAACAUCAAAUCGUACCCCAAACCGACACAGGUGGUCAGGUAGAGAAUACCAAGGCGCUUGAGAGAACUCGGGUGAAGGAACUAGGCAAAAUGGUGCCGUAACUUCGGGAGAAGGCACGCUGACAUGUAGGUGAAGCCCCUGCGGGUGGAGCUGAAGUCAGUCGAAGAUACCAGCUGGCUGCAACUGUUUAUUAAAAACACAGCACUGUGCAAACACGAAAGUGGACGUAUACGGUGUGACGCCUGCCCGGUGCCGGAAGGUUAAUUGAUGGGGUUAUCGCAAGAGAAGCUCCUGAUCGAAGCCCCGGUAAACGGCGGCCGUAACUAUAACGGUCCUAAGGUAGCGAAAUUCCUUGUCGGGUAAGUUCCGACCUGCACGAAUGGCGUAAUGAUGGCCAGGCUGUCUCCACCCGAGACUCAGUGAAAUUGAACUCGCUGUGAAGAUGCAGUGUACCCGCGGCAAGACGGAAAGACCCCGUGAACCUUUACUACAGCUUGACACUGAACAUUGAGCCUUGAUGUGUAGGAUAGGUGGGAGGCUUUGAAGCGUGGACGCCAGUCUGCGUGGAGCCGACCUUGAAAUACCACCCUUUAAUGUUUGAUGUUCUAACCUGGCGCCGUGAUCCGGCGUGGGGACAGUGUCUGGUGGGUAGUUUGACUGGGGCGGUCUCCUCCCAAAGUGUAACGGAGGAGCACGAAGGUCAGCUAAUCCUGGUCGGACAUCAGGAGGUUAGUGCAAUGGCAUAAGCUGGCUUGACUGCGAGAGUGACGGCUCGAGCAGGUGCGAAAGCAGGUCAUAGUGAUCCGGUGGUUCUGUAUGGAAGGGCCAUCGCUCAACGGAUAAAAGGUACUCCGGGGAUAACAGGCUGAUACCGCCCAAGAGUUCAUAUCGACGGCGGUGUUUGGCACCUCGAUGUCGGCUCAUCACAUCCUGGGGCUGAAGUAGGUCCCAAGGGUAUGGCUGUUCGCCAUUUAAAGUGGUACGCGAGCUGGGUUUAGAACGUCGUGAGACAGUUCGGUCCCUAUCUGCCGUGGGCGCUGGAGAAUUGAGGGGGGCUGCUCCCAGUACGAGAGGACCGGAG
rnacentral:rRNA from 1 species